rnacentral:rRNA from 1 species
GGGNCAUUACCGAGUGAGGGCCUCUGGCCCGACCUCCAACCCCCUGUGAACCGACACUGUUGCCUCGGGGGCGACCCUGCCGUUCGUUCGGCGGCGGCGCCCCCGCAGGCCCCUUCAAACGCCGCUUAUGUUGCGUCGGAGUUUCAAUCAAAUUGAACAAAACUUUCAACAACGGACCUCUUGGUUCUGGCAUCGAUGAAGAACGCAGCGAAAUGCGAUAAGUAAUGUGAAUUGCAGAAUUCAGUGAAUCAUCGAAUCUUUGAACGCACAUUGCGCCCCGUGGUAUUCCGCGGGGCAUGCCUGUUCGAGCGUCAUUUCACCACUCAAGCCUAGCUUGGUAUUGGGCGCCGCGUGUCCUCUGGGCACGCGCGCCUCAAACGUCUCCCGGCCGAGUCGUCCCUCCCCCGGCGUUGUGAUCAACGUUUCGCUGCGGGGCGUGGGCGGCCGCGGCCGUUAAACUUUACACCAGGUUGACCUCGGAUCAGGCAGGGAUACCCGCUGAACUUAAGAUAU